rnacentral:rRNA from 1 species
AUUGAACGCUGGCGGCAGGCCUAACACAUGCAAGUCGAGCGGUAACAGAUUGAUAGCUUGCUAUCAAUGCUGACGAGCGGCGGACGGGUGAGUAAUGCCUGGGAAUAUACCCUGAUGUGGGGGAUAACUAUUGGAAACGAUAGCUAAUACCGCAUAAUCUCUUGUCUUUUACGAGAUGGGAGCAAAGAGGGGGACCUUCGGGCCUCUCGCGUCAGGAUUAGCCCAGGUGGGAUUAGCUAGUUGGUGGGGUAAUGGCUCACCAAGGCGACGAUCCCUAGCUGGUCUGAGAGGAUGAUCAGCCACACUGGAACUGAGACACGGUCCAGACUCCUACGGGAGGCAGCAGUGGGGAAUAUUGCACAAUGGGGGAAACCCUGAUGCAGCCAUGCCGCGUGUAUGAAGAAGGCCUUCGGGUUGUAAAGUACUUUCAGUUGUGAGGAAGGCGUUGGAGUUAAUAGCUUCAGCGCUUGACGUUAGCAACAGAAGAAGCACCGGCUAACUCCGUG